CAGUAGCCACGGUAAUACGUAGGGUGCGAGCGUUAAUCGGAAUUACUGGGCGUAAAGCGUGCGCAGGCGGUUUUGUAAGACAGGCGUGAAAUCCCCGGGCUCAACCUGGGAAUGGCGCUUGUGACUGCAAAGCUAGAGUGCGGCAGAGGGGGAUGGAAUUCCGCGUGUAGCAGUGAAAUGCGUAGAUAUGCGGAGGAACACCGAUGGCGAAGGCAAUCCCCUGGGCCUGCACUGACGCUCAUGCACGAAAGCGUGGGGAGCAAACAGGAUUAGAUACCCGCGUAGUCCCUGUCUCUUAUAC
rnacentral:rRNA from 1 species